UUUGGUUUUGUACGACGUCGGCAUGUUCGGUAAGUAUUGGGUUUUGCUUAAGCAUUGAUGUUUUUAGACUAAGUGUUGAUGAAGGAUUGUUUUGUCGUUUUCGUUAGGUGAAGGUCAGUAACCUGUUGGUGUGCCACAAUAAUUAGAGUGUUAAGAAUUUCAGUUCAUUGAAGGCAAGUGCGUGUUAGCACUAGCUGAUUCGGUGAGUUUUU
rnacentral:lncRNA from 1 species